rnacentral:rRNA from 1 species
CUACGGGAGGCAGCAGUGGGGAAUUUUGGACAAUGGGCGCAAGCCUGAUCCAGCCAUGCCGCGUGCGGGAAGAAGGCCUUCGGGUUGUAAACCGCUUUUGUCAGGGGAGAAAUAGCUUGGGCUAAUACCCCGAGUUGAUGACGGUACCUGAAGAAUAAGCACCGGCUAACUACGUGCCAGCAGCCGCGGUAAUACGUAGGGUGCAAGCGUUAAUCGGAAUUACCGGGCGUAAAGCGUGCGCAGGCGGCUUCGUAAGACAGAGGUGAAAUCCCCGGGCUCAACCUGGGAACUGCCUUUGUGACUGCGAGGCUUGAGUGCGGCAGAGGGGGAUGGAAUUCCGCGUGUAGCAGUGAAAUGCGUAGAUAUGCGGAGGAACACCGAUGGCGAAGGCAGUCCCCUGGGCCUGUACUGACGCUCAUGCACGAAAGCGUGGGGAGCAAACAGGAUUAGAAACCCUGGUAGUCC